GAAAGCCGUGUACGGGAGUACCGUACGCACGGUUUGAUGAGGCGGAGAUUGGAAAUCUGGAUUGUCAAUCCUUUU
rnacentral:misc_RNA from 1 species